CACACCCCUGCCUCCGCCCUAAACUUGCGUCUGGGUCAAUUGGUAGUGGGGCAGUUGUGUGGAGGGUUUUGUCACUGUAUCUAUUCCACCACGCCCUGCCUUUCCCUUCACACAGCCCCCACUCUGGUCCAGGCCCGGCUGGCGCGGUGACUCCUCCCCCACUGCCUGGUCCUCCCCCGCCCCUCCCACGCAGGCUCCAACACCGUCGGGGUAGGUUCUUUCUCCUAAAACAUUGCUGAGCCCCACAUCGUGUUAGGUUCUUUCUCAUAAAACAUUGCUGAGCUCCAUCUCAGUAAAUGUCCAGCAACCCCCCGCCCGCCCCCCAGACUAGGUGGAGCCACACUAGGCCACUUCUGUGACUCUGGGGUUGGCCCCAGCUGUUCCUCACUCAGUUCCCCACUCUGCUCCCCACUGCGGGGCUCACUGCCCCUCCUCCUGCUGUCCUGAAUCCAUGCUGAGCUCCAGCCCUCCCCACCUGAGACACCUCCCUCUGCCUCCCUCAUCAGAGGCGGGCACCAGUCCAGAGCCGGCUUCGCCACCCAGCCUUGAGUCACCUCUCCACCUGGCCACCUACGGAGAAGCUCCUAGGUUUGGAUCUCAUCGCUACCAUAGACUGUUGGAGUUUCAAGGGUGGAGAUCCGCCAUUGCUUUUUCCAUAUCCGCAGAAAUUCCUUUCACAUGAAAUGUGAGUCUGUUGGGUUCCCCCCCGAGACCAGCGGUGGAAGAAGAAGCUGGAGGUGGCUGAUGAGACACUUCAUGCUGGACCAAGAAACGGGGACUCGGGGUUGAGUCCACAUGUGCCAUUUGUGGGGACGCCGUGCAUUCCCCAGUUUGCCGCUCUCUGUUUCAAAUUCUUUCACUCGAUGCUGUUGUGGGCAUGAAGUCAAAGCAGGCAUGUGUGAGACAGUGCUUUGUAAAACAUAAGGCACGGAACAAGUUUAGAACAGGAAGAGUUGAAGCUGGAUUGACGCAAUUACCAAAAAUAAAAUUAGCUGAGGGUGUCAGCGAUGAGCCAUGGAACUUUUAAUAAUCAUCACAUUUUAGGUCGGUGCCUUUAUGCUUUGAAUUCAAAUGGCAUCAAUUUAGGAAUAAAGAAGUCAACAGUUUUAAUGGCCCAAUAUGGAUGCAAGGGUCACUGAUUACUUUAGGGUCCUUAUGUUGCAAGGAGUCUAGGAAAAACUUCAAUUUUUUUUUUUUACAGCAACGUGAUUCUCUUUGUGGUGUCUACUAAAAUAAGAAAGUUACAGUGAGAUUUCUUCAGUGUUCUGAUGGCUUUCUGCCUCUCCUCUGACCAGCGUGAGCCACUCCUUCAUCUCUGCCUCUCACUUUCUGCUUGACAGUCAAGGCUCGCCUUGAACCUCCCUCUUCAGAAAGCCUUUCUGACCUGCCUCCUCAGGAGUGUUUGUUUGUGGUAUUUGACCACAAUCUGCACUAUACUAAUUAGCUAUGAUUUUUAUGGGGCUGGAGGAACUUCUAAGGCAGCAGCCGCGUCGGGUUCUUCUGUCUCCUUCCCAGGGCUUCCUCAGGGCUUAGUACAGGGCAUGUGCUAAGCAUUCCCUAGCCCCUUCCUUUGCCCUUGUUUGUUCUUUCUAAUCAGAUUCUGUGGGGAAGUUCAUUGUCACAAUGUCCAAUGUUUAGCAUUCAAAGGCUGCAUGAGGUAGAUCAGGUAAACAUACCUCUCUGGCUGUACCAAAAUGGGGGGUUUGGCAUAUCCGCCACCUGAAAGCAGCUGGACCCUGCGUGGAUCUGGGUUUGUAUGCUGUGAGUAAUGCUGUCUGCAUCUUCGAAUCUUUCACUGUAAGAAACAAAAGUCUGACAGCCUCUGAAUCCCGCCCUCCUUCCUGAUACACUGUGACAAUGUGUUUAUAGUACCCUGUUGAUGCUGACCAGAUGCUUGAAGAGGACAGGGUCAGAUGCUUUGUUUGCCGAAGAAACCAGGUAGAUACCCACACUGUGGCCCCAGGAGCUGGCAGCAUCCUGGCAGCACCCUCGCAGCACCGCAGAGCCCCCACCUGCCUGCCCGUCACCGAUGUCCUUUCUCUUCUUGAGUUAAGCCUUUCACUUACUGUCAGCUGGAGGAUGCAUGCCACAGCUAAAUCCCUGGCUAAAAGGUACUAACUCCCAGAUGCUCCAACCCCCACUGUGGGACUCACCGUGAAAAUGUCCAGUUUCUUUAUUAUCAAAGAAAAAUAAUAGUCAGUGAAACCCAAACAAAUCUUAGCGCUCCAUGUGGCACAGUCUCUGCCUAUUGGGACAAACUUGUGAUCUGUUUCAUACACCUUAAGAUACAAUGUAUCUUUCGGGAGUAUUUUUAAAGGGGCAGGGAGGCGGUGGGUGUGGUGCUUCCUGCAGAAAGACUCCUGAAAGGCGUCUUGACUUGUUUUUCUCGCUCCCCAAAGCCCAUCCUCUUGUGCCAGCUCACUCCCUCUCCACUCUGCUCCUCCAUUUCCUGUGCCUUUCCUGAGGGACUCAGCUUACACCCAACACACGCCAAGGGACUUUCAUUGCUGCAGCAUCUAGGACGUGUCAUCUCAUUGUCAUCACUCAACACUUUUCUUAUCAGCCUCAGGCUGUUACUUGGUCUCUGCAGAUACAGCAGAACUUGAGAGAGAACCAAAAAACAAAAUCCUUCCUUGGUCCUGGGUUAUUCGCUGGUGGAGUCUGUGUCUCUGCUAAGAUGACUUUGUCAAACACCUGCUAUGUGCCAGAGCGUGGGCCCUGUGUCCAGCACACUUGCAUGCCCUUUUGAGACUGACAGGCAUCAUUAUCUUUUCUACAAAAAAGAAAGACGAGGCACUGGGUGCAUAAUUAACCUGCCCCAGACACGCAGCCAGUUAGUGGUGAAGCUGGAGCCCCCCCCGGAGCCUUCACAUCACUGCCCUGCUCUCCAGCCAACCGUGGAACGAAACAAGAAGGCAGACAACGUCCACGGACGGCUCGCCCUGUGUUUAUUAUAGUGUUUGCAAAUCUGAAUAACUGAGCACAUUCCUGACAACCCUGACUACUGAAAUGAAGGCAAAGAGAUGGGAUGAAAAAUGGGUACUUUGGAUCAAAACAACCCCCGAUUUAUGUAAAUGUAACUCUAACUUUUGGACAGGUGGCAGGUUUGAGACUGGGAAGCUGGAUUCCCUCUGGACUGGGGGUGCCUCUGGCGACAACACUCCUGAGGAAGGCUCAAGCAGAGGAAUUUUUUAAAAUGAAUGAAUAAAUGAGCUCUUCUCAUAGGUUCUCAUGAAAGGAGGGUCCCCAAAGAAGGGGAAGGGCUGAAGGGUUGGGUGAUCUACACAUCAGCAGCAGCAGUGUGUGGUUUCACCUGACAGACUGCUUGUUUGGGAGGGUGGAGGGGCUCUCCCAGGGGAUCCCGAGGUUGCCCCUGAGUGAGCGAGGUCAGGACAAUCUCUCCUCUCCUUCCUGGGUCUCAGGGAGCUUCCAUGAACAGAGCUGGGGUCUGAGGCUGGCUCUUGGUUUGCAGCUGGGCUUGGCUGACACAGCCAGCCUGGCUCUGCUUGGGGUAGCAGGAUACAGGAAUUUAAGGCCAGCGUCUACUCCUGGGCGGGGGCAGGUCAUCCCCCUGCCAGCCCAUCUUUCCAAUGUGACUAAGGGAGGUGCAGUGGGAUGUGCAGGAAACGAGGAUCCCUUCAGCCUCACAGUCCCCGGGACAGGGGCCUUGCAUUUGUGUCUACUGGGCCGGUCUCACCCCAACAUCCUAAUGUCACCAACGUUGAACUUGUCUAUUGUCUCAGUUUGGGUUUUCCUGAAAGUAGGUCCUGAGACAGGACUUGCGUACAGGCAGUUUAUUUAGGGGACUGAGACAGGGAGAAAAGAAAAGACACAAUGUGUGAAUGAAUAAGACGGACUCUCCUGAGGACAAGUGUUACUCAGCCCCACCAACCCCUUCUGAGGACUGUGUAGGACCCACCUGGAAUUCAUCUCCCCAAAGUAUUAGGAGUCUGGGACACUUACUUUUCUGGGCCAGAAAAAGCCCCAGGCAGAGGUCCAUGAAGGACUGAUGUGGACAGAUGCUCUCCAGUGACCUCCUGCACCGAUGGUGUCUGCCACCCUGUCUUUGCCACCAGACUCUGAGUUCUGAGUCAAUUUCGUCCACGGGACCCAGCUGUGGGCUUGGCCCAUUUUUUUUUUUUUUUUAAUGAAUGAAUGAAUAAGCUCUUCUCAUAGCUUUUCAUGUAAGGAGGGUCCCAAAGAAGGAUGAGCCAGGAGGCCCAGAUAGGGGAUCCCCUUUAGUUCCAGGUAGAGGGACACCCCAGGGUUGAGAGGGAACAGAGCAGCCUGAGGAUGGCAAGGGAAGCGAGGGGUGGGGGUCUGGGGGCCUGGGGGCCUGAGCCCGCUUUGGCAAAGGCCAGGACAAAGUGGCCUUCUUGAGUGGUAGGGAACAGCAGGGUGUGACCUUCUUCCAGCCCAGGCUGGAGACCCCUCUGCCACCUCCUGGUGAGUGUGAUGGGGGGAGGUGGCCUCUGUGAUGAAAGUAGGAAUGGCCAGGGCUGAAGCAUCAUGAUGGAACUGUCCCCUGUGCCCCGGUUAUGUGUGUCACUGCUGUGCCAUGCCUGGGUGUGUGGGAGGACUGGAGGACACUGGCUGGGCCUGUAUCAGGGCCACAGGAGCCCACUGGAUGUUUGUGACUACACAUCAAGUAUGGAGGCUGCUGAGGACUGAAGGAGCCCCACCUGCAAGUCCGAAGAGCAUCUGUGAAGUCCCAGGCACACACCUGGGUGAUGGGGCCGGUGGUGGAGUUCCUGGGGUUCACCAG
rnacentral:lncRNA from 1 species